AGAGUUUGAUCCUGGCUCAGAUUGAACGCUGGCGGCAUGCCUUAUACAUGCAAGUCGAACGCGAAAGUGGACUUCGGUCCACGAGUAGAGUGGCGGACGGGUGAGUAACGCGUGGGAAUCUGCCCUAGAGAGGGGGACAACUCGAGGAAACUCGAGCUAAUACCGCAUAAUCUCUGAGGAGCAAAGCAGGGGACCUUCGGGCCUUGCGCUUUGGGAUGAGCCCGCGUCAGAUUAGCUUGUUGGUGGGGUAAUGGCCUACCAAGGCGACGAUCUGUAGCUGGUCUGAGAGGACGACCAGCCACACUGGGACUGAGACACGGCCCAGACUCCUACGGGAGGCAGCAGUAGGGAAUAUUGGACAAUGGGCGAAAGCCUGAUCCAGCAAUGCCGCGUGUGUGAAAAGGCCUGCGGGUUGUAAAGCACUUUCAGUGGGGAGGAAAUGCUCAAAGUUAAUACCUUUGAGAGUUGACGUUACCCACAGAAGAAGCACCGGCUAACUCUGUGCCAGCAGCCGCGGUAAUACAGAGGGUGCAAGCGUUAAUCGAAGUUACUGGGCGUAAAGCGUGCGUAGGCGGAUUUUCAAGUCGAGUGUGAAAGCCCUGGGCUUAACCUAGGAAUUGCAUUCGAUACUGAAAGUCUAGAGUAUGGUAGAGGAAGGUGGAAUUUCCGGUGUAGCGGUGGAAUGCGUAGAUAUCGGAAAGAACACCAGUGGCGAAGGCGGCCUUCUGGACCAAUACUGACGCUGAGGUACGAAAGCGUGGGGAGCAAACAGGAUUAGAGACCCUGGUAGUCCACGCCGUAAACGAUGAGAACUAGACGUUGGCCUUAGCUUUAUAGCUGGGUUAGUGUCGAAGCUAACGCGUUAAGUUCUCCGCCUGGGGAGUACGAUCGCAAGAUUAAAACUCAAAGGAAUUGACGGGGACCCGCACAAGCGGUGGAACAUGUGGUUUAAUUCGAUGCAACGCGAAGAACCUUACCUACCCUUGAAAUCCUCGGAAUCCCUUAGAGAUAGGGGAGUGCCUUCGGGAACCGAGUGACAGGUGCUGCAUGGCUGUCGUCAGCUCGUGUCGUGAGAUGUUGGGUUAAGUCCCGUAACGAGCGCAACCCUUGUCCUUAGUUGCUAGCGCGUAAUGGCGUGCACUUUAAGGAGACUGCCGGUGAUAAACCGGAGGAAGGUGGGGACGACGUCAAGUCAUCAUGGCCCUUACGGGUAGGGCUACACACGUGUUACAAUGGGGAAUACAGAGGGUUGCCAAGCCGUGAGGUGGAGCUAAUCCCAGAAAAUUUCUCGUAGUCCGGAUUGAAGUCUGCAACUCGACUUCAUGAAGUUGGAAUCGCUAGUAAUCGCGAAUCAGAAUGUCGCGGUGAAUACGUUCUCGGGUCUUGUACACACCGCCCGUCACACCAUGGGAGUGGGCUGUACCAGAAGCAGGUAGCUUAACCUUCGGGGGGGCGCCUACCACGGUGUGGUUCAUGACUGGGGUGAAGUCG
rnacentral:rRNA from 1 species